AGCCCCUGUGGAGCGCACCUCCGUCACCGAGGAACGCACACCUGCCCACCAUCACAGCCAGCACCGUCGCAAACCCAUGGACAACAGGAAGAAGGCAACAGUUCCACUGGAUCCAAUUGGAAGUGGUUUAAUGUCACCCAAACGGAACAGAAAGGAUAAAUCAGAAGACUGACUGGAACAGCAACAACUGCUUCCAACCCCUCCAAUCUCACCCAACACUCACUUUACUUGUAUUCAAUUCAAUUGGGAACUCAAUAUAAAAGGACAGGUGUUCAGUAAACUCCCAUAGAAGUAUGACUGCAUAUGAUGUUAAGACUCUUGUAUUUAACAAGCUACAUUAUUGUACUAACCUGCUGUUAACACCCCCUAGUGGUUGUAUGUGUACAAUGACAAACACAGAAACUG